UACGUAGGUGACCAGCGUUGUCCGGAUUUACUGGGCGUAAAGAGCGCGCAGGCGGUCGUUCAAGUCGAGUGUGAAAGCCCCCGGCUCAACUGGGGAGGGUCACUCGAUACUGAUCGACUUGAAGGCAGGAGAGGGAAGCGGAAUUCCCGGUGUAGUGGUGAAAUUCGUAGAUAUCGGGAGGAACACCAGUGGCGAAGGCGGCAACCUGGACAGAUAUUGACGCUGAGGUGCGAAAGCGUGGGGAGCAAACAGG
rnacentral:rRNA from 1 species